ensembl:lncRNA
AUCCGCCAAGAACAUGAGCUCAGGAUUUUAGGAACGGCACCGGAAGUGGAGCAGUUGUCAGAGGGUGAUUGAGAAACACGGGAGUCGGAAUGUGGGCGGCUCUAGAAAGGUGCUUUUAGUUCAAUGUGACAAAUCGACCUGCAAGUUUCUAGUCAGUUGUGAGAAAGUCAAGGUGCCGAGAAGAGUUUCACGUGAUUUGAUUGACUACUGAAAGAAACAGAGUAUACCGGACGAGAGAAAUUCAUUAUCAAUGAACCUGUAUAGGAAUUUUGGGAAUCUUCUGGAGAGUUGGGUGACUGAAGGCCACCAGGAUUUAUACUUACAGCCUGGACCUGGUGUGGACAGAUUAGAUUCCAUUUAUAGGGACUCUGUCCCACUAUCUAAUAUAAAAUCAGAAUCUGAGGACUCCGGAUUUGAAACGUGUUGAUCUCAGCUCUGUGGCUCUAAAAACAACACAUCUGGAGGUGGAGCAAGUCUUGAGAAGGACCGAAUCAGGCUCAUGGAGAGGACCCCUGCACCAGGUUGAAAGGGGGACCGCUGGGCCACGGUAUCGCUCUAACACGGCCUCUUUUCCAACCAGCUUUCACUCAAACAGCUCCAGACCACAUCAUCGGUUUGCUCGUCCAAGGAGAACUCAUUCACAACCUCCAGAUUCCAAGAAAGCAGAACUGUACAGAAAAUACCUAAAGUCAGACCAACAUGGCCAACCAGCAGACAGCCAGCUGGAGCUUGCAGACAGUGAUCAUUACAGACUGGACAAGCUGUCUCCAGGGUUGCUGUACCUGGAGCAGGUGUGCAGGAUGCUGGAGAAUGUUGCAAAGCUACAGCAGCAAAACUACAGCCUGCAGAAAGAGGUGGAGAUCCUGAAGAGUCAGCAUGCAGAAAUAGAGCUUGGAAGCUUUCAUGUGGAGGAAAUAAGCUAUCCUGCCAGUCAAGGUUUACAGAUUCUGGGUCAUGAAGAUCCACCCAGCGAAUCGUCUCACCUAAAAGAACCCAUGGGUUUUCGUCACAGAUCAGUAUCUGACACCCAGGCAGCUGUCGGCCAUCACAGGAGAACAAGGUUUGUUCGAGACAAACCUAUUGUAGAUGUCUUAGUCGAGGAACCUGAUGGUAAAGAUCCUGUAAGUAAAUAG